UACAGAGGUCUCAAGCGUUGUUCGGAUUCAUUGGGCGUAAAGGGUGCGUAGGUGGCGAGGUAAGUCUGGUGUGAAAUCUCGGGGCUCAACCCCGAAACUGCACUGGAUACUGCCUUGCUCGAGUACUGGAGAGGAGAUUGGAAUUUACGGUGUAGCAGUGAAAUGCGUAGAUAUCGUAAGGAAGACCAGUGGCGAAGGCGAAUCUCUGGACAGUUCCUGACACUGAGGCACGAAGGCCAGGGGAGCAAACGGG
rnacentral:rRNA from 1 species